ensembl:lncRNA
GUUGUCUCCAUCAUAUACUAAAGCUGAGCCAUGUUAAAUCUGUUAAAACCUGAGGCAGUUUUAAGCUCUGAGUCACAGGAUGAAUAAAAGAAACAUGAUAAAUCAGACUUUUAGAAGAUGGCGGGUCGAUCAGCAGCUUUUUGUUCCCUGCCAAAUUUACAUUUUAGAGAGGUAAUACCUCGUUCUGAGUCGAGGAGCUUUGGAGAUUUAUUCAUUUUUGUCUCGGCCCACAUUUUAUUGACAGCCAGCACGAAACCAAGCACAGGAUUCAUUUUGUUCAACCGGCGUGUGACCUUUUGUGGUUUAAAUUAAGCCUGUGAAUAAGAGCCAUAUUGAAAAAAAGGAUUUUAUUACCAUCCACUGCUGAAAGGAACAGACUCAAAAGUCAGAAAGAAAACUUGUGUUUACCGUGGAGGAUAUGUGGAAUCGCGGGGAUGGAGUGCAAAACACUGUCAAGGUUUUGGAUCAACGCGAGCAAUUUCAAGUGGCAUUAUUGUCAAGGUACAGUGUUCUUUUUCAUGACUGUGUUCCAUGUGAGAAUCAGUAAGAUUACUGCGGUAAAAAGUGGUGUGAUGUGAACGCAACCAGGGGAGGGAAGUAUCGGUGCCAAUCAUUUAGGGAAACCUACCAG